GCUUAGUGCUAGGGCAUUCAAAUUCUAACAAUACGUUAUUUCAAUAGUUGUGUUUUUUUUGGGACACCCUGUAAUAUCGUUCACUGAUACGGCAAACACACCCUUCCCAUUGAACUGGAACGCUACCUUCAGAUAAACUGCCUAUCUUUUUUUUAAGAUCCGCGUGUUUAAUUAUAUCAUGAUUGACUGAUUGAGCGCUCUUCGCUUGCGUGAAAAGACUGGGACUGGCCUUCAAAUUUGGUUUCAAAUUUCGAGUUGGUCUGUAGCGUUCCAGUUAUAUUCAGUUCAAUGACCC